GCGACCGUGGUGGAAUUGGUAUACACAACAGACUUAAAAUCUGUCGACUUUGGUCAUGCGGGUUCAAGUCCCGCCGGUCGCACCA
rnacentral:tRNA from 1 species